ensembl:lncRNA
AUGAAGCCUUGGUGUCUCUUUUCUCUCUGCAAUGAUCUCCCACUGGUUCAUCUACUCCAGCCACACUGGCCUCCUUUUGGUCCAUCAGCUCACAAGGCAUCAAGGAGCCCUCACCUGGGAGGAGAACAUCCAGCCGCUGGCAAUCAGGACUUAUUUCCCCUUCAGCCCUGGAGAAGCGGCAGAGCCAGGUGUGACACUCUCUCACUCUUUCUCUCUCUGCCUGAUUCCCUUUCUAUCAGGAUUCUAGAUGAGGGUAAAGAGUAACAAAUCAAUGCUUAUGUUAUUGAAGAGGUUUGUGGCAGGGAAUAACCAUGUAACUCGCUGGGUCUGGAAUUAAAACCAGGGCUUGGAUGUCAAGCAAGGGAAAAGACCAAACUAGAGUGCUGAUAUGUUUGUAAACAAUGCUUUGACAAGAAUGGCCAUUUCUCUCGGUUUUUGGAUGUGUUUUACAGUGAUCCACAAGAACCAUAUAAGGCUGAAGCACAUCAGGAUCACCCGGGGGCUGAACAUGCAGUUUGCUAAACUUCAUCGCCAACCUCUUUGAUUAAGUAGGUCUGGGGUGGGGUCCAAGCAGUUGUGUUUCUAAUAAGUUUCCGGGUGAUGCUGAUGCUUUUGGCCAAGGACUACACUUUGAGAAUGACUUCUAUGGACCAAGCUAUUUGCAUAGAUCAAUUUCUGCACAGGUUGCAGUGCUGACUAAGUGGAUGUGAUGAACUAAUAAAUGCAACACCAGGACAAAACAAAAUUUAGUCUGCCUUGCUCCAAUUUUAUUCUAAUUAACAUCUGCUCUCUCUUGGGCUCCCUGCAAAAGUCUUUUGAUGUUUGCAUUCGUAACCACCACCAAAAUGAGCUUGAUGCAAAAAUUCAUUCAAUCGCUAAACAUUUUAUUUGUGAUGACAACAAAUUUUUAUUUCUCUAAUUUGAGAGUUGUUCUGUUUCGUCUUCUAUGGUGGCCUGAGCAGGUGUUUCUUUCUCUCUGACAUCCACCAGGCCUCACUGACUAAGAGUUUUCUAAUCUUUUCUCACCAUUUGCUCUUCAGAAUUCUGAUGUUCUUGGGGCUGGGGCCUGCUUUGUAUUUUAGGGGUCUUUGCCAAUUUAAACUGUCACUAUUUUAGUCUCAGAUAUAAAUAAAUAAUUUCUGAUAUCUGAGUCAUAAGGUGAAAUGAAAUAGUUUGGAAUAUAUUCCAAGACCUUGGCAUUCUUCAGGGAUAUGGUCCAAGACCUUCAUCAAUUCUCAAACUUGAGAAUUUCUAAUGCAGUCUGACUCCCACAUUCUUGCCUCAGUGAGACACUCUGAAACGUAGUUCCAGGAAAACAAGCCAGACAGCACCACGAAAACAUCUGAAGAAAGCAAUGCAAAGAGUUCAAUGGAGACAGGAAGUAAGGGCCAAAGAGGUCUUCUGGAAUACAAUGCUGAAAAUGAAAUAGUGCAAGUCAUUAAAUGAUUGCUUGCUUGCUGAGGAUCACUCUUUCAGAGGGAGAUGAAAGCAGGGACAUGAAAUGGAAUGGACUAAGUUAUUAUCUUCAUGUUUUACUGCAUAAGCAGAAGCGGCACCCAUUCUGGCUACAGAAACAGCUGGUAUGGAGCCAAUGGCGUGGUUUGUUAUGGGCUUGGGCUGGGCUGGUGCCUGCUGUAAAUUAUCAGGCACAUAAAGCUGAGACUAGAAGUUGGUCAGACAGGUAAGAACAGAACUCUGGUUAGAGACUCUCAAAUGAAGCGGACAGGUGAGGGUGGGAAGAGCAUUAAGUUUAUGGAGCACUCACCAUGGGCCUGCUUGUGUUUGGAGUGCAAAUAUGAUUGUGUCCAAACGGGGAGUUGGUUGGAUAGUCGUGUCAGAGACUAAAACAAGUAAAGACCUGAUCAGGAGUAGGUACCAGAUAAAAUACAGAAAACAUGGUUAAAUUUAAAUUUCAGGCAAACAAUGAAUAUUUGAAACAUGCUAAACAAUUACUUGUUCAAUUAAAACUUAACUGGGUGUUUUGUAUUUUUACUUGCUAAAUUGGACACCUUUAGUUCAGGAGGCAAACGUCAGAUAAGGCAGGUUGCAGCAGCUGAGCUGAAGUCAGAAGCACCCUCUGGGGUUCUGCUCAGGAGGUGAGCUUGCUGUGGGAUGCUGCAUAGUGAGGGAAAUCAGGGGAUCCACUUUCACCAGGUCUAGGGGAAAGCUGUAGGGAGCACUUCUGUGUCCAGCCAGAUGCUUUUAUGUUGCUUUUUUGUUUGUUUGUUUGUUUACAAAAAGCGAGAGAACUUUAAGAAGUCCUAGAGUCCAAGGGGUGACUUUGGGCAGAGACUCUAAUUGUGAAUCCUCUGUAGCUAGCUAGUACGUGUGACUCAGUAGUGGCAGAGAAGAGAGGGAAUUAAUGAGCAUCUGCUCUGAGUCAGGCAUUUUCCAUGGGCCACUAUCGAUAUUUUCUUAACAACUGUGAAGCUGUGGGGAGUGGUGGUGCCUAUUAAUUCCCUUGUACCCCAGUCCUUACUGAAAUCUAUUUUACUCCUCUCUUUUCCCUCCCCUGCAUACACACAUGCAAAGCCUGGACUUGACAGCUUUAUUUUCCAUGUAAAUCUUAUUAUUUAAACUGGGAAGAAACUUUCCUGAAGCUUUAGAAUGGGAAGGAGUGACUGAGCCUCUUUUUUUUUUGAGAUGGAGUUUUGCUCUUGUUACCCAGGCUGGAGUGCAAUGGCAUGAUCUCGGCUCACCACAACCUUUGCCUCCUGGGUUCAGGCAAUUCUCCUGCCUCAGCCUCCUGAGUAGCUGGGAUUACAGGCACGCACCACCAUGCCCAGCUAAUUUUUUUUAUUUUUAGUAGAGACGGGGAUUUCACCAUGUUGACCAGGAUGGUCUUGGUCUC